rnacentral:snoRNA from 1 species
ACGACAUGAUGAGGACAUUUUUUGAUGAGGUCCUUUAAUCUUUCCCAUGACUCAUGAACUGCUCACUAUCGUACUGUGAGAAGCUAGUGAGAGCUCGCCUUAUUUG